CUGAAAUUGUUGAUAACGUCUACUCGACGGAAUCAGUCCUUACGGGCGGGAUAAAUGUUGGAGACUACAAUGCAAACUUCAUACCCUUACAUGCAGGAACCUUCAAACGACGGGAUUCCGUCGUAUUCUGAGAAUAAUAAGGAUGGUACGACUAAGCUACGAGAUGAUACUCAAGGUAUUCACAGGCAUGCUUAUACAGCUUCCAAAUCGACAUCUCCCAGAUGAGCUUAAUGGGCUUUGUGGUUUUUACGCUUAACGUAAUGCAGAUGACAAAACUUCCGAGCAGCAUGCAACAGUAGCUGUAUUUAAUGAAGAAAAAAAUGUUGGCGAAACAAGGGAGCAGUUCAACGCACAGAGGC